GUAGAAGUACACUUAUAUUUCAGUAUUCAAUGAUACUCUGUUCAUGGUGACGAAAUUCACACUAGUAAUCAAUGCUGGAAAUUCCUUAGAGUCAGUCCAACACAUGCUAUUGUAUUUAAUAAUUGGAUUGUGUAUUCAAGGUCAUGCGCUCUUCAUCAUAUGCAGAUACUUACAGAGAAAUUAAACCACCACAAUAAUAUAACUACAAUAUUGUAUGUUUUUCCUGGGGCACAUGGAGCAAAAUGAGAAAAAACAAUCAUAUGGCUCUCAAAUGGAUUUUCCUUCACACGCAGUCAAAAUAUGUCACCGCUCAUUUUUGUGCAAGUUUUUCAAGUUCUGAAGAUUAUGAGUUGAGAAGAAAUGACAGCAGUGGCCUUGGAAAUUGGUUGGAAGACAUGCAAAGAUGUGGUGAUGAUGCUAUGCAGCAAACUGAAAUCAGCCUCUUGUCAAAUUGCACAGCUUGGCACAGCUGUGUGAAAAUUUUUACUACAGAAGAAAACAGCACAGAAAGAUAAAGAAGAAAGGAAGGAUGGAUGCUCCUGCAACCUGAAGACUGGACCAAGAGGCAGCAGAUCUGGAGUGAGCUUUCAUAUUUGCCACAGAGCUCUUAUGUAAGUUUGGAAUGGUCUCUUAGAUGCUGAGCCAGUAAUAUUAACUCAGCACAUCCCACUGACUUCAGUUUCUGGCAAGACUUGAAUCACACAUGACAUCCUAAACUACCAAAUUUUUUCCUGUUACUCUAGCCACGCUACAUAGAAUAAAGCUUUCUUUUACCUAAGAUAAUGGAGGUGUUCUUUUGAGUUUAUAUACUAUAAAGGUUCAGUCUUUGUUACGCACACAAAAUUACGCUGGA
rnacentral:lncRNA from 1 species